UAUUAGAAAGACAAUUCCGAUAUGUUCCUCCAAUGCUAUGAAAAAGCCGGUCAGCAUGAUCGAAUUUGCCACCCUGAAGAUUACGGUGGAGGGCUGUAAAAGGUUCCAGUCUCAGGAGGUAAAAUAGCACAAUUCCCAUGCUCGAGUAAUGAGAACCAUAGUAGAAACUGGGAAUAUCAGGGUCAGAGAAGCUGCGAUAUCUAUCCUCAAAGACCUCGAACCUUUUAGCAUCCAGUGCUCCAACAGGUUUUGAUAGAUCCCUAAAGGUAGAAGAUUUGUUAAAAUCAAGAGUUUCCGACGAAUAAUCAGCUAGAAUCCAAGGGAACACGGGAUACUGGGUCAAAUCAUUGUAAGAUCUCCCAGCUAGGGUGUUCAGAGCCAUCAAAUACUCAAAGUUUGUUAUCUCCCUCCUCUUCCAGCGUUCUCUAGCAUUUUCUGCCAUCUCCAAUGCCACACGUCUGUCCACAAAAGAAAUA
rnacentral:misc_RNA from 1 species